AUGAAGUUAGCCAGCAGCCAACAGACCAGCUUAAUUUUACCUGUCAAAUUUAGGCCACAGAUAAAUCGCUCGGUCGCUCCCCGUCGAUCCCUGCGCGUCCUCCACAUCAAAUUAGCAGCAGCAAUAACAACAACAUCACUCAACAAACAACAGGGAAGCAGCAGUAUGGUGCAGCUAACAGCAGCACAUCAGCAGCGCACAUAUAGAGCAGCCGUCCCUCUCUCCUCCCCUGCCGUCCCCACACCAGCCGGUCCUCGUCCGGUCAUCCCCGUCCAUCUCCUCUGGCGAGCCCACACCAUGCCCUCCCGACCAGCGCCUCCGUUGAUCUGCGCCAAAGCCGCUCACUUCUGUGACCGUGUGCUGCCCACUUCCCAUACCAGGAUGCUUUGUGGGGAUGGGAGGCCGUGA
rnacentral:rRNA from 1 species